rnacentral:snRNA from 1 species
GUGCUUUGCUUCAGUAGCACAUAUACUGCCAAAUUGGAACAAUAUAGAGAAGACUAGCAAGGCCCCUGUACAAGCAUGAUAUGAAAAUUUGUGGGCCGGGCGCGGUGGCU